AUUGAACGCUGGCGGCAGGCCUAACACAUGCAAGUCGAGCGGAUGAAGGGAGCUUGCUCCUGGAUUCAGCGGCGGACGGGUGAGUAAUGCCUAUGAAUCUGCCUGUUAGUGGGGGAUAACGUCCGGAAACGGGCGCUAAUACCGCAUACGUCCUUAGGGAGAAAGUGGGGGAUCUUCGGACCUCACGCUUUCAGAUGAGCCUAGGUCGGAUUAGCUAGUUGGUGGGGUAAAGGCCUACCAAGGCGACGAUCCGUAACUGGUCUGAGAGGAUGAUCAGUCACAAUGGAACUGAGACACGGUCCAGACUCCUACGGGAGGCAGCAGUGGGGAAUAGUGGACAAUGGGCGAAAGCCUGAUCCAGCCAUGCCGCGUGUGUGAAGAAGGGCUUCGGAUUGUAAAGCACUUUAAGUUGGGAGGAAGGGCAGUAAGUUAAUACCUUGCUGUUUUGACGUUACCAACAGAAUAAGCACCGGCUAACUCCGUG
rnacentral:rRNA from 1 species